UCAACUAACGGUGAAUCUUUUGGUUUCAAUUACGAUGAAGAAUGCGGCGAAAUUUGAAGUUAUAUAAUGAAUUGCAGGAUCUAAUGAAUCUUUAUUGAUUUUAACGUAAUAUUAAUUGGUUACUUCUGUAAAAAUUUGUGUGUAAGAGAUAAUAUUAGUUAUAUUACCUUUCAAUAAAGAGUAAAUUACAGCAUUCAAUAUGGCCAUGUAUAUGAACUGGAUAUUAUUAUAUUGAAAAAUAAUUAUUUUGCAUUUGAUAAUAGAAUCAUUAGAAUUUAAAAUGUAAAUCACCUAGUUUAAGGAAUUAAUAAAUGUUAAAAUGUUAUUCAAAAUAUUUUUAUAUUACUGUAGAUGCUAGUAAAUUCAAAAUUCAUCAAUAAACAUAACUAGAGGAGUUUGUGGUGCUAUAGAUUUCCUGCGUGCAUGCAAGUGCAUAAGAUAGUAACUAAUGAUCACAAUUAAAAUUGAUAAUCAGUAAGAGGUGUACCCUGAUAAGUACUAUUAUAAUUUACCCAACUCCUUGUAUGAGAACCUGAUUAAUUUAAACAUAUUAUUACACAGAGGAUAUGAAUUUGGGUUAGUUUUUCUUAGUAAUGGCGAACGAACAGAACGAUAUUCACAUCAUAAACACAUUUCAAAUUAAUAUUAGUAUGUAGUUAAAUAAAUUGAAUACUUCAAAUUAUUAGAAGCUUUUUCAAACACAAUAUAUUAGAGGAUUGUAAUUCCGUAUUAGUCUAAUUAUCGAUUUUAUCUUCAGUAUGUUUAGAAUACUGCUCUUCGAUACUAGAGUAGAAAGAGUAUGAUGAUAGACAUAAAAUGAUAAACUAUUAUUGAGGGCCUUUAGCUUACAAGUAUCUUGAGGGAAAUAUGAAAAGAACUUAAGAGUAGGAGUUAAAUAGUUUGUGCAUUUGUUAGUAAAAAGCGACUAAGAUUUUGCAUUAUCGCUUUGAUAUAUGACUAUCUUUUAAACAUACAAUAAUACUUUAUCUUUGUAACAUUUUAUUUAUCAAAGUGCAUUGAAUAUAUUCCUUUUAUUUUUAUUCGACCCGUCUGGAAACACGGACCAAAGGAGUCUAGUACAAGUGCGAAAUAUUUAAAAUUAAACUCUUUUCAUUAUAUGUAAUGAGAGUCGUAUUUAUCUUAAUUGUAAAUUACUUACUGCGGAUAGUGUGUUUUCCUUUAUAUAAGCAUUUAUACUAGGACCCGAAAGAUGGUGAACUAUACUUAUGCAGGGUUAAGUCAGGAGAAAUUUUGAUUGAGGCCCGUAAUAAUACUGACGUGCAAAUCGUUUGUUGGAUACGGGUAUAGGGGCGAAAGACUAAUCGAACUAUCUAGUAGCUGGUUGCCUUUGAAGUUUCCCUCAGGAUAGCUAGAGAAUAUUAGAAGUUACAUAAGGUAAAGUAAAUAACUAGAGUUUAGGGGAUUGAUAAAGUCUCAGUCUAUUCUUAAACUUUAAAUGUGUGUAAAGUGAUACUGUUUGUAUUAGAGUGUCCCGCAGAAUAACGUUUCUCUGUGGACCAUUUUUGGUAAGCAGAACUGGCGGUAUGGGAUGUUCCAAACGCAUAGUUAAGAAGCUAAGUUGUUAACUUAGUCUGACACCAUAAAGGGCGUUACUUGAUAUGAACAGCAGGACGAUGAUCAUGGAAGUUGAAAUUCGCUAAGGAGUGUGUAACAACCCACCUGCCGAAUCAAGUAGCCCCGAAAAUGGAUAGCGCUCAAGCAUAUUUUUGAUACUAAACUACUGAUAGAGUUACGUGGAUGUUAGUAUGUAGGGGGGUGAAGCAGUAUCGUUGAAAAUUUAAAUGUAUGAUAUAUGGGAGCUAUUGUCUUUACAGAUCUUGGUUUUAGUAGCAGAUUUUCAUCAAUGAACUAUGAAUACUGAGGUGGAGUAAGGUUCCAUAACAACAACAUUUGGAUGUGGUUUAGUAGGUCCUGAAAAAAUAUUCAUUAAAUAUUAAACAAAAAUUUUUUAAUAGGGAAUCAAGUUAAUAGUCUUGAAUUACAUAAUGAGUUGUUAUUAAGGCAACUUCAAAAUUUGGUAAGAAGAUAUAAUAAUUCUACAAGAGAUUUCUAUUCUUAUUGAAAUUACUAUGAUCAUGGAAUAAUUUUUCAUUGAGAUCAGAUUAUAGAAUAUUAAAAUCAUUGCAUAUUUUGCAAUGAAUGAUACGCGCUAUUUUUUUUUUUUAAACCAUUUAUUUUUAAUGUCGUUAUACAGUAUCCAUAUUAAUCACCGCAUCAGGUCCCCGAGGUCAAGCUCCUCUAGUUAAUAGAAAAAUGUGGGUAAGGGAAGUCGGCAAAAUGGUUAUGUAAGUUUGCGAUAAAGAAUGGCUCAUUAAGUUGAGUUAUAUGACUCGUGGAAUAGUCUAUGUGCUAUUACAGAUUGCCAAAUUUGAUACAAUAUUUUUUCUGGAAUAUCUUUCAUUUCAUAGGAUUGACAACUUGAGAAUAAAAUUUCUAAAUAGGAAUUGUUGUUUCAUUAACAAUUAACAGCUAAUAGUGAACUGUAGCUAAUCAGAGGAACCCGACUAUUUAAUUAAAAUAAAGCAUUGUGAGAGAUUUGGUUGUUAUGAAUACAAUGUGAUUUCUGCCCAGUGCUCUGAAUGUCACAGUGGAGAAAUUCAAUUAAGCGCGGGUAAACGGCGGGAGUAACUAUGACUCUCUUAAGGUAGCCAAAUGCCUCGUCAUCUCAUUAGUGACGCGCAUGAAUGGAUCAACGAGGUUCCUUCUGUCCCUUCCUACUAUCUAGCGAAA
rnacentral:rRNA from 1 species